rnacentral:rRNA from 1 species
CUUAACCUCGGAAUUGCAGUCGAUACUGCUGUGACUCGAGUCCGGUAGAGGAGAAUGGAAUUCUCGGUGUAGCGGUGAAAUGCGCAGAUAUCGAGAGGAACACCAGUAGCGAAGGCGGUUCUCUGGGCCGGCACUGACGCUGAGGAGCGAAAGCGUGGGGAGCAAACAGGAUUAGAUACCCUGGUAGUCCACGCCGUAAACGUUGGAUACUAGGUGUGGCGGUCUUACCAACGACUGCUGUGCCGAAGCUAACGCAUUAAGUAUCCCGCCUGGGGAGUACGGCCGCAAGGCUAAAACUCAAAGGAAUUGACGGGUCCCCGCACAAGCGGCGGAGCAUGCGGCUUAAUUCGAUGCAACGCGAAGAACCUUACCAGGGCUUGACAUCCCGUGACAGCCUGUGAAAGCAGGAAUUAGCUUCGGCUACAC